CCUACGGGUGGCUGCAGCUAAGAAUCUUCCGCAAUGGGGGAAACCCUGACGGAGCGACGCCGCGUGGAUGAUGAAGGCCGUAAGGUUGUAAAAUCCUUUUGUUGGCGAAGAAUAAGCGUGGGAGUGGAAAGCCCACGUGAUGACGUUAGCCGACGAAUAAGCCCCGGCCAAUUACGUGCCAGCAGCCGCGGUAAUACGUAUGGGGCGAGCGUUGUUCGGAGUUGUGUAGCGUAAACAUCAAGUAGGCUGUGAAAUCGCAAGGCCUAACCUUGCAUAUGCGCUGGAAACUGGUGGGCUUGAGUUCUUGAGGGGAAGCUGGAAUUCCAGGUGUAGGAGUGAAAUCUGUAGAUAUCUGGAAGAACACCGGUGGCGAAGGCGAGCUUCUAUCAGAGGACUGACGCUGAGGCGCGAAAGCGUGGGGAGCAAACAGGAUUAGAUACCCCUGUAGUC
rnacentral:rRNA from 1 species